ACGAACGCUGGCGGCGCGCUUAACACAUGCAAGUCGAGCGAGAACCGGGGGCUUCGGCCCCCGGGGGACAGCGGCGAACGGGUGAGUAACACGUGGGUAAUCUGCCCUCGGCACCGGGAUAGCCCGGGGAAACCCGGAUUAAUACCGGAUUGCCCCUCCGGCCUUCGGGCCGGCGGGAAAGGUAGCUUCGGCCUCUGGCCGAGGAUGAGCCCGCGGCGGAUUAGCUUGUUGGUGAGGUAAUGGCUCACCAAGGCGACGAUCCGAGCUGGUCUGAGAGGACGACCAGCCACACUGGGACUGAGACACGGCCCAGACUCCUACGGGAGGCAGCAGGUGGGGAAUAUUGGACAAUGGGCGCAAGCCUGAUCCAGCGAUGCCGCGUGUGUG
rnacentral:rRNA from 1 species